rnacentral:snoRNA from 1 species
GGAUCGAGCGAUGACUUUACAUAUACAUUCCUUGGAAAGCUGAACAAAAAUGUGAGGAAAACUCUAUACCGGCUACCCUCGGGCUUCUAACUGAGGUCC